GAAAAACCAUCGUCUAACUACCGUUGAAAUGAUAGCUUAACAAAGACAAAUGAUACUUUUACCUAAUUAUCGAUGAGAUAGCUUAACAAAGGUAAGAAUGAGAGAAAAACCAUCGUCUAACUAUCGUUGAAAUGAUAGCUUAACAAAGACAAAUGAUACUUUUACCUAACUAUCAAUGAGAUAGCUUAGCGAAGGUAAGAAUGAGAGAAAAACCAUCGUCUAACUAUCGUUGAAAUGAUAGCUUAACAAAGACAAAUGAUAAUUUUACCUAACUAUCGAUGAGAUAGCUUAACAAAGGUAAGAAUGAGAGAAAAAUCAUCGUCUAACUAUCGUUGAAAUGAUAGCUUAACAAAGACAAAUGAUACUUUUACCUAACUAUCGAUGAGAUAGCUUAACAAAGGUAAGAAUGAGAGAAAAACCAUC
rnacentral:lncRNA from 1 species